UUACUUUAAAAGUAAACUAUUAAAUAUACUGAAAUUUCAAUAUGCUUUACAUUACAUCUCAGUGUAUACUUUACACUAAUAAAGUAUGCUUUUUUAGGUGCCUUAAUAAUAUUUUACUAUUUUUGUUAAAAUUGCAAAUAAUAAAAAAAUAACAGUCCUUAUAGUGGAACUUGAUGUAAUGUUAUUUAACAAAGUUAAUAAUGUGUUCAUGCCUCAACACAUAAAACAUUGACAGUCUAGUGACAGCGGGUUACUAGACUGUGACAAAAACAAUACUUGUUCUUAACACUAAAUGUAGCAGAUGUCUUCAGUUUUACAUCACUCUGAAUAUGAUAUGUUGUUUUCAGUUUUUAACUAAAACACGAAAGCUGUCUUUGCGCGAUCCAUUUUCAGAUGUAAGAUGCAAGACCUAUCCUUACUGUGAACUGCAUUAGUUGCAGUUCACACUCCAGACCAGAUGGUGGCGGUAAUGCAGGCCUUCAGUUGUUUUCUUUUUUGAAAAGCCACAUAAAAAGUAAAAAAGCCGUGAAGAUAAGAGAUGCUGUUCAAAUUCGCGAUUUUUACUCGCAUAAUAUUGCCUUAAAAGUAAAGAGGGCUUUGAUAAUAGUUAGUAGUUUUGGUAAAUUCAAGCUUGUGACGUCCUAGUUAGACGACAACACAACAGGACAAGAACUGGAUGGAAAUGAAAUGUGGGUCACGAAAGGAGACCGAAGGGACGAAGGCUGCUAAAGUGUUGCUAGCUUGUGUCUAAGCAAAUAAAGAUGAACGAGGAAGCCAGGGAUCAGGUAUUAGAAACCCUAAAGACUUUCCUGUCUCAGAAGAGGCUCUGGCUCCACCAGAUCACCACACCAGUUCUGAGGACGAACCUCCAUAUUGUGAAAUAUUUUUCACAUUUUGUUUAAAGUGUACCUAUUGUUUUAUUGUGCUAAUUUUCUUAAGCAUCUUGUCUGUAAACUUUGAUUAUAUUGACAAUUUGUACAAUUCUCUCAUAGUACAUUGGCAAUGUACUCUUGGAAAGUGUGAAAAUAUUGAAUACACAAUGUAAUUUGUUUUAUCUGUAAAGUGUGUUGUAAUUGAUCCCUCUGUGUGCUGGUAAUCUGAUAUGUUUGCAGUACUGUAGUGUGUAUGAAGCAUGUAAUGUACAAAGUGGCAAAGAAGAAUAAUAAAAGACAUUAAGCAACUAA